rnacentral:rRNA from 1 species
UUAAAUUGAAGAGUUUGAUCAUGGCUCAGAUUGAACGCUGGCGGCAGGCCUAACACAUGCAAGUCGAACGGUAACAGGAAGAAGCUUGCUUCUUUGCUGACGAGUGGCGGACGGGUGAGUAAUGUCUGGGAAACUGCCUGAUGGAGGGGGAUAACUACUGG